UUUAACACAGCUGUAUUUGUUUAUAAAUUCGAUUUCAUGAAGUGCUCUCCUUUUUGAUAAUAUGAACAAGUAUAUGUUUGUCCUUAUAUUAGAUGAAUGGCUAAGAUUAAAGAAUAUAUUUUUUUAAAUCAUGUGCACUUUAAAAAAGAGACCACAAAAACAACUCAAUUAAAAAAUAAUGACUAAAUUAACAAAGAUACUGCUACAGACAAAAAAUACUUCAUUUGAUGUAUAAUUAUACACUAUAAUUUAUCAAUAAGCCAGUAGAUAAUGGUAGCAUGUUAAUUGGACAUGAGCAGCAAUCCAACAAAUAUAUAGCUCUCAGCAAGUGAAAACAAAGGCCAAGUUUUAAUAUGUUAUAACAAGUAAAUGUGGGCUUUUAGAUUUUAUUUUUUUAUUUCUUAUGCUAUACAUCUUGAGAUAGAAUUAUUAUAAUUUCUGUUUAGAUUUAAUACCAGCCGCUGUACAAAUUGCACAAGAAUUAGAGAAAUAUGAUGAUGCUAUUUGAUUUUUCAAUUAUUUGUAAGUAAUACUAUGCUUUAUAUAAAUAUUUUUGUCAAUACAUGUAUCAAAUAUUUACUAUAUUAAACCUUAAAGCAAGUCCCCAGUGCAAAAACACAACAUUUAAAGGUUUCCAAUUUUUCAAUUAUUCUGUCAUAUGUGUGAUUUAUGUCAAUGGUUAAUUGGUGUUAAAUGCCACUUUCAGUAUUAUGUACUGUUUCGUAUACGUAGUAGUCGGUUUUUAUUGGUUGAGUGAGAAAAUAAUGCUUGUAGAGAACCAAGAUCCAAGAUAGUAAAACUGACAAGCUUAUAGUCAAUUAGAUUGUAGUCAAACUAAAAGGCUAAGUGUGUGCUUUGAAAUUCACAACCUUUGUGUUGAGAGGAUAGUGAUAGACAAGUUCAAUGAAAAAGUAACACAACAAUGUGGCAUAGAAAAACAUACAGUCUUUAUCUAUAGCACAAGUUAAGUAAAAAAAAUGCUGAGUUCCCGUUUUCUUACUUUAGUUUGCCUUAAAACAAAUGUUUUAAAACGAAUAGGUACACAAUGCUUAUUACCACAAAACACAGAUCAUGUUUAAAAUUGGAUGGUGUUACUUUUACUGUUCAUGACUUAUGUACCUUUAUAAAUGAAGCAAUUACUUAGUCUGUUAGUUUAAUUCUCUUCCUCUUGUUUGCUUCGCCUAAAUGUUAUGAAAUUUAUAUACAAUUACAAAAGGGUCUUAAUGAAAUGAAUCCUGCAUCUGUAUGAGGAAGUUGACUGGUGCGUAUUGUUACUAACAGGCAGGGUAUUUGCGUCCCCAAAACACAUUCUCAAUUUAAUUAAACCAUGUUCAUUCACAAGAAUAGCCUAGUAUAGAAUAACCUCCUGUCUGAAAUCGCCUUCAAUCUAUUUUUUCAACUUUGAUUUAAUUUGAACAAUUAACUAAAUUGAAGUAAGCGGGGGUGUUAUGUUUUCUUUACAAAUACAAUGUAUACUGAUCCCCAAUUUGAAAAAAAAAACUAUUCUCAAUGCUCACUUUUUUUCCAUUUCCAUAACAAUAUACAGGUAGUGUUAUAAAAAAAAUAAAAAUAGUCUGAUUUAUCGUGUCAAAAAACUAAAUAAAUUUGUUUGUGCUUUAUACAUCCAAUAUUUUUGACUAAAAAAAAAAACGAAAGAAUUUAUAUGCCCCACUUACAGUAUUAGAGGGGUAUUAUCUAUUCUGGUCUGUUUGUCCGUCUGUCCCGUUUCAGGUUAAAGUUUUUGGUCAAGGUAGGUUUUGAUGAAAUUGAAGUCAAAUCAAUUCGAAAUAUAGGUCACAUGUUCUCUAUGAUAUGAUCUUUCUAAUUUUAAUGCAAAAUUAGAUGUUUGAUCCCAAUUUCACGGUCCACUGAACAUACAUGUAGAAAAUGAUAGCGUGAGUGAGACAUCAAUGUACUAUGGACACAUUCUUGUUAGAUUUGUAUUUUUUUAACAGUUGCUUCAUUACUGAUGUAUUAUAUCAUUUAACCCAUAAUUAAUUUUUUUCCGUAUAUGACAACACACACUAUCAUGCACAUAAAAAGUCAUAUGAUACAUAUGAAUUAUUUCAAUUGAGUAUUUUAUUUAUUUUUGAAGUAGAAUGGAGGAUUAUCCUUGACAAUGCUCAGCCCUACUGAUAUGAUAGAUACAUGUAUGCUGAUGUCUAACUUGGAGAUCGUGAUUAGGUUGGGAAAUGUAUCAGGUGGGUUGGUUAUUCAUACAUAUCAUGAAACAAAUAAUGGCCUUAAAAUUACUAAGUAGAUGUAUUCAUGUAUGUUGUUGAAUUUUGCUGAAAGUAUUUACUAGUUCAUUUGGCUGGACAAAACAAUCAAUAUUUCAGGUUUUGCAAAACAGACUAGACAAAUUGCAAGAUAGCAAUUAUGGAAGAGUCACAGUUGAAAAACCAUAAAUCUAUAAAAACAGAUAACAGCUACUCAUAACAUUUUUUUUAAUCCAUUUGAUAUUUUUUGUCUUGAUCUAAAACUACCAGUAAGCUUUAGAUAUUUAAAUAUAGAAACAACCGAACAGCACACACUAAUUUCAACAACUUUAUUUUUUGUAUUUUGUGUUUUUUUCAGAUGUAGAAGUAGAAGAAACA
rnacentral:lncRNA from 1 species